rnacentral:rRNA from 1 species
GACGAACGCUGGCGGCGUGCUUAACACAUGCAAGUCGAACGGAAAGGCCCUUCUCGGGGGGUGUGCGCGAGUGGCGAACGGGUGAAUAACGCGAGUAUAACCUGCCCGUCACUGGGGUAUAACUUGAGAAAACGGGCGCAAAUAGCGGAUAGGAGCUCCUGCUGCGGGGUGGGGGGGGGAGAGUUUCGGCGGUUGGGGAGGGACUCGCGGCUUAUCAGCUUGUUGGUGGGGUAGUGGCUUACCAAGGCUUUGACGGGUAGCCGGCCUGAGGGGGUGACCGGCCACAUUGGGACUGAGAUACGGCCCAGACCCCUCCGGGAGGCAGCAGUGGGGAAUAUUGCAAAAGGGGCGGAAGCUUGAUCAAGAACCGCGGCGGGCGGGAUGCCGGCCUUCGGGUUGUAACCCGUUUUCGUCUGUGACGAAGCGUGAGUGACGGUAAUGGGUAAAGAAGCACCGGCUAACUACGUG